GAUUAACGCUGGCGGCGUGCAUAACACAUGCAAGUCGAACGAUGAAACUUUUUUGAUUUCUUCGGAAUGAUUAAAAGUGGAUUAGUGGCGGACGGGUGAGUAACGCGUGAGUAACCUGCCUUAGAGAAGGGGAUAGCCUUUGGAAACGAAGAAUAAUACCCUAUGAAACCAUAACCUCGCAUGAGGAAUUGGUCAAAGAUUUAUCGCUCUAAGAUGGACUUGCGUCUGAUUAGUUAGUUGGUGGGGUAACGGCCCACCAAGACAGCGAUCAGUAGCCGGCUUGAGAGAGUGUACGGCCACAUUGGGACUGAGACACGGCCCAGACUCCUACGGGAGGCAGCAGUGGGGAAUUUUGCACAAUGGGGGAAACCCUGAUGCAGCGACGCCGCGUGAUUUAGAAGGCCUUCGGGUUGUAAAAAUCUUUUCUAUGGGAAGAAAAUGACAGUACCAGAGGAAUAAGAACCGGCUAAUUACGUG
rnacentral:rRNA from 1 species